GAGUCAGUAAAGAGCCGACUGUGAACGUGAUACUUACCCCGAGAGCUGUAAGCAGCGGAGCUGGUGAGAACCAUUCAAAGACCAAUAACAGUGUUUCUGUGUCCUAGCGACCACCUGUGGAGAGAGAAAGGAAAACGAGAGAGAGUCAGUAAAGAGCCGACUGUGAACGUGAAACUUACCCCGAGAGCUGUAAGCAGCGGAGCUGGUGAGAACCAUUCGAAGACCAAUAACAGUGUUUCUGUGUCCUAGCGAUCACCUGUGGAGAGAGAAAGGAAAACGAGAGAGAGUCAGUAAAGAGCCGACGGUGAACGUGAUACGUACCCAGAGAGCUGUAAGCAGCGGAGCUGGUGAGAACCAUUCAAAGGCCAAUAACAGUGUUUCUGUGUCCUAGCGAUCACCUGUGGAGAGAGAGAAGAAGACAAGAUGGCCGCCUGUGGAAAGAGAAGAAGGCGAGAGUAAGCCAUUGGGCACGGACAGUGGAGAAACCCCUAACAGCCACACCAGAAGUUGUCUGCCUCCAGGAAGAGAAGAAGGAGGGCGCCACGGCCAGCAGGGUCCAGGCGGGAGCCUGACGUUUCCUUUUUCCCCCGUUGAUGGUGGUUGGCACCCCCGUUUUCCCAUCCCUGUCACCCGUGGCUGUAGUCUCCCUGGAGGGAGUAGAAGAAGCCAUUAGUUUUAAAAUUCCCCUUUCCCCGAAAUUUCCCCCCCAUCCUUUUAAGUAUUUAAGAUUUCAAUAAAGCUUGUUUUAAAUUUUA